rnacentral:rRNA from 1 species
AUACGGAGGGUGCAAGCGUUACUCGGAAUCACUGGGCGUAAAGCGCGCGCAGGCGGCUAUUUAAGUUGGAUGUGAAAGCCUACGGCUCAACCGUAGAACUGCAUCCAAAACUAUUUAGCUAGAGUGUGGGAGAGGAAGAUGGAAUUAGUUGUGUAGGGGUAAAAUCCGUAGAGAUAACUCGGAAUACCAAAAGCGAAGGCAAUCUUCUGGAACACUACUGACGCUGAGGCGCGAAAGCGUGGGGAGCAAACGGGAUUAGAAACCCUAGUAGUCC